rnacentral:lncRNA from 10 species
UGUGUGUGUGUGUGUGUGUGUGUGUGUUUUCCUCUGUAUUUCUGUGUUUGAAACAAAAGCCCAACUAACGGAUUCCUGGUGCUCUGAGGACUCACUCCCGGGAGCGACUUUGAUGUAUUGCUGUCCAAUUAGUGCCUUUAAUUGGUGUCCUCGGAGACAGGCAGGCCCGGAGCUGGGACAGAGCCUCCUCUCGCCUCUCCUGCACACUGGAAAGGCAAGACCAGAGCUUUUGCCUCACCACUGACCUUGCCCCACUACUGAGGAAAACUUCUUUUGAGAACUCUACCAAAUGCCCUUUCAAUUAUGAGAUUCUUCACUCUGGCUGGUGGAACAGAAACGAUUCCUGGCCCCAAAUGAUUUCUGGAGAUUGUUUCCUCGAAUCCUCUCAGGGUGGUGGUGGGGGCCGAUGGGAGUCCACUCAACCUGUUAACAGGGCAACUGGACGAAGACUUGUAAAAAGCUGAAAUUAAAAUGACUAAUAAGGAUUAAAAGAAGAAACCCAGAGGUUGCGGAGCCUGUUGAAGCCUGAUGCUAUUUCCUAGAGUUAUAUUUUAAG